rnacentral:rRNA from 1 species
GAUGAACGCUGGCGGCGUGCCUAAUACAUGCAAGUCGAGCGAACAGACGAGGAGCUUGCUCCUCUGACGUUAGCGGCGGACGGGUGAGUAACACGUGGAUAACCUACCUAUAAGACUGGGAUAACUUCGGGAAACCGGAGCUAAUACCGGAUAAUAUAUUGAACCGCAUGGUUCAAUAGUGAAAGACGGUUUUGCUGUCACUUAUAGAUGGAUCCGCGCCGCAUUAGCUAGUUGGUAAGGUAACGGCUUACCAAGGCGACGAUGCGUAGCCGACCUGAGAGGGUGAUCGGCCACACUGGAACUGAGACACGGUCCAGACCCCUACGGGAGGCAGCAGUAGGGAAUCUUCCGCAAUGGGCGAAAGCCUGACGGAGCAACGCCGCGUGAGUGAUGAAGGUCUUCGGAUCGUAAAACUCUGUUAUUAGGGAAGAACAAAUGUGUAAGUAACUAUGCACGUCUUGACGGUACCUAAUCAGAAGGCCACGGCUAACUACGUG